AAACAUUUUCAUAGGUAAUUGCUUAUGAUAUAAAACAAAAUACAGAUAUGAAUAAUUGAUAGUCUAACAAAGUAUUGACACGGAUGAUUGACUUGUGAUAUGUAAAAAUGAUGGCCAUGUUGAUGACAAUGUUGUUGUUUAUGGUAAUGUUGAUGAGGACGUCCAUGGGUGUAACAAUGAUGAUGAAAUGACGUUGUUCAAGAUAGUCAGCAAUCAUCAGACUAUUGUUCGAUUGAUGGUAAAAAAAUGUUUAUUGAUAAUUGAGCAGACGUAAAGCAGGAAAUGGCGGGAAAGACUCCUAGCAGACGACAGUUGUCGCGCAGAUGCAAUCAUGCACCAUAUCAGACUGCCCGAAAAUACAGGCUGGCCUAGCUCUAUACUGGACUCGCUUUCAGCAGUGUAUCCAGAGGUAGCAGACGACAAUAAAUUUUAAAGGUGGAAAUUUGCGACUUCCGGUGUGUCUGCUACUCGAUGUUGUGAUCUCCGUUACUUCCCCUGACGUUCAGUAGAUGAGAUGAGGGUCGAGUUUCAGGAUUUGAAAUAAGGAAAGAACGAAAGAUAUGAAAAGAGCACCGGCAAACUGAUCUUGGGAUGUUACAUCCUUAUCACAGAACUGGAACCUACUGAUUAAGAUGGGAAAUACGGAUCAUGGUAAAUUGAGCAGGUGAAGGAAUGAAGAAAACACCACCCUCUUUACAGUCAGCAAAAUAACUAUGCUUCCGGUUUGGAACUACUGCAUGCCGUUACACAUAUGUGACAAAGAGAUUUUAAUCCACCUGAUACGAUUUGGUAUCUUCCUGAAAAUGUCAUGUUAAACUUCUGAAAUGUGUUUUUUCUGCCAAGUUUAAGAAAUAUAUUACCAUGUAACGGUCUAAUAUUUAUGGCAAUUAUGAAGUAAUGAUUUUUGGCGUAGUAAUAAAAAACAAAGGAUGCUAGCUCGAUUGGAUUUUCUACAUGAGCUUGAAAAAUAACACCUUCAUAAAUGCCAUGAUGUGAACAGAUUUUAUUUGCUUUUUACAUUGUACAUCUUCUAUUUACCAACAUACUGUACCGUCAAUGUAUUGUAAUGGCAAUAAUGAGUAUAAUUGCAAUAAUGAAAAUUGCACUUUUUUGCAAUGUAUAUUUCAAGUGGUGUAAUAAGUAAAAUUUGAUCAGGAAUGUACAUUUAUUAAGACUUAAUAUAUAUGCAAACAUACUGUACCGUUAACAUAAUGGCAAUAGUAAAAUUGCAGAAAUGAA